ensembl:lncRNA
AUGAGUUGGCAAGAACACAUUCAUGGAUUAGCACGAGAUAAGUUAAUGGUAAUGGCAGCAAGAUUCUCCAUGGAGAGAAAUUUGAAACUGAGGAAAUGUGAAAAGUUUUCAGGCAGAGGAGAUUGUUCCCAGAAGGGGCUCGUUAGACCAUUGCACAUCGAGAAGAUGCAGCCCCUCAAGCAGAACAAUUGUCCCUCCAAAGAGACAGAGUGGCCAGCCUCUGCAGUUAGUCCUUCCUGGAGCUACAGGCACAACCCCGAUAUGGAAAAUGAGCAACACAAACAACUUGCAGGACACACAAACUGUGAGACCAGAGCGUCGUGGAAAAUGCUCAAGAAGUCCAGCUCAGUCCCAGAGCACAUCUCUGACCACCCCCCUUCUCCCUGGUUAAGGACUGGAGAUGUGUGUCAAGACCCAAUGUAGGACUUUCUGUUUAUUGAUAUGUAAGUUUGCCUAAUGUAAGGCACAGAUUUCUCACCCCAGACAACAAAUCCAUGUGUUAAGGAACGAUUGCAUGUGUGUUUAUACAUGGAUAUAUGAAUGAGGUGGUUCCUGAAUGAAUAUAAGACUCAAGAUAUUGGCCAAGACUGGGAAAAUCCAGACAAAGAACACCUCUUCCAGACUCAAUUUUAAUGAGAUCGUUCUCUGUCUGGAUUUAUUAUGUGUCACAUGAAAACCUGUUAAAGUUCCAUGGAAAAAGAUGUCCUGAAUAUUUUAUACCUUAUUCAAACGGUUCAGAUAUUUAUUUCAGCUUACAGAUGUUGAAACUAUCUUAAAUUGUCAAAUGUUUUGUUGGAAUGAAUCUUUUACUUCAAUAAUUUUUCAAAGUUUUUUUUAAAGCCUGACUCAAAGCAAAAGUAAAACAGAUAAAAGCUGAGCCGAUUUAUCUGAAUUGGAGCUGGAGAUUCCUAUCUUCGCUCACUGGCUCCCCGUCUCCCAUCACCCCUGGGAAGAAAUAUCUGGGAAGGGGGAGAAAGAGAUAUUGCCACUAAGUCUCUUUACUUCCUUGAGCUAAGCUUAAACAUCACUGACCAAAUUCCCCCUUUUUAUUUUAGAUAAAGAAACUGAGUACUUAAGAGGUUAACCCUUAGAAGAAAGUAAAGAUUUAUUAUUAUUCAGAGUAUAUAAAACACUUCCCACCUACCUUGUGUUGAAAGAUGAGAGUCCCUUACUGCAUUAACAAAGGGAAGGCAAGAACGGGACGUCUGGUCCACAAGAUGACCUGUGCUAUUGUCACCUUCAUGCAGGUUAACUUAGAAGACCAAGGAGUUUUGUCUAAGCUGGUGGAAGCUACCAAGACCAAUUACAACAACAAAUAUGAUGAGAUCCAUCAUCUCAGGGGAAGCAAUGUCCCAGGCCCAAAAUCCAUGGCUCACAUUGCCAAGCUGGAAAUGGCAAAGGAUACAGACUUGCCACUAAACUGAAUUAAAUGUACACUAUUGAGUUUUCUGUACAUAAAAAUAGUUGUAAAAUUCCUUCCAAAACAGUAUAUAUAAGGAUAUAUAAAUAUAAUAAUAGCAAUAAUGAUCAGCACUUUAUGGGCACUUACUAUCCGCUAGGCACUGUGCUAAGCGUCUUACCUCCACCUCUAUUACCUCACAAAGCUCUUUUAACAACCUUGUGAGAUCAAUAUUUGUUUUCAGAUGAGGAAACUGAGUCUUCAAGAUCUAGCAGGGGCAACAGCAUACACUUAGAUCUAUGAGCCCUGAUACCAAGAUCUUAACCUCUACCGUCUAGAGCAGUUUCUCAACUGUGGCAUCACUGACUUUUGGGACCAGAUUAUUCUUGUUAUGGGGGCUGUUCUGUGCAUUGUAGGGGGUUUAGCAGCAUCCCUGGCCUCUAUCCAUUAGAUUUCAGUAACAUCCUCUCAGCUAUGAUGAUCAAAAAUGUCUCCAAGCCAGGCGAAGUAACUCACACCUCUAAUCCCAGCAACUUGGGAGUCUGAUGUGGGAGGAUUGCUUGAGCCCAGAAGUUUGAGAUUAGCCUGGGCAAUAUAGUGAGACCCCAUCUCUAUGAAAAAAUUGGUAAUUAUCCCAGUGAUGGCAUCACGGGUAGUCCCAGCUCCUCGGAAGCUGAGACUGGAGGAUCACUGGAGCCUCAGGG